GACGAACGCUGGCGGCGUGCCUAACACAUGCAAGUCGAACGAGAAAGUCCCUUCGGGGGCGAGUACAGUGGCGCACGGGUGAGUAACACGUGGAUAACCAACCCUCGGGUGGGGGAUAACAGUCCGAAAGGAUUGCUAAUCCCGCAUAAGACCACGGCAGCUGCGGCUGCUGAGGUAAAAGGCGCUUUAUUGAGUCGCCUGAGGACGGGUCCGCGUCCCAUUAGCUAGUUGGCGGGGUAAUGGCCCACCAAGGCGACGACGGGUAGCCGGCCUGAGAGGGUGACCGGCCACACUGGGACUGAGACACGGCCCAGACUCCUACGGGGGGCAGCAGUGGGGGAUCUUGCACAAUGGGCGAAAGCCUGAUGCAGCGACGCCGCGUGAGCGAAGAAGGCCUUCGGUUGUAAGACUCUGUCUGGAGGGACGGAACAAAAUAGACGGUACCUCCGGACGGAAGACCACGGCGUAACUACGUGCCAGCAGCCGCGGUAACUAGUCUACGU
rnacentral:rRNA from 1 species